rnacentral:misc_RNA from 1 species
UUUCCGUAGGUGAACCAGCGGAGGGAUCAUUACCGAGUGCAAACUCAUAACCCUUUGUGAACCUAUAUCUGUUGCUUCGGCGGCUCGCUCUCGGGCGAGCCCGCCGGUAAUAUCAGUAUCUCUGUUUGAACCCGACGAUACUCCUGAGUGUUCUUAGCGAACAGUUAAAACUUUUAACAACGGAUCUCUUGGCUCUA